CGUCUCCAUCGAGAGUUCAGUCUUUUUCAUUCACAACCGAACUAUGUCGACGUGAAGUUGUCGAGUCUUUGCCACAAGUUUCACCGGCACAGCAAAAAACAUCUGAAAUAGCCUAUUUUUCUCUUCCUCGCAACGUUUGCUUCAAAAAAGACAGAAACAUGACAGCCGGGACACAGACUGGAGACUUGAGAGCGGGCCGAGCUCCAUCCUUUUGUGACGAGGCAAUGAUUGAAGUUAAGGAGACCUCGUCGGGUGGGAGUGCAGGCUGAAAUGUGGUGGUGUCCAGACUGGAGGGGGGGCCCCCACCUCUCAAGCUGUUAUUGACCUCAGGACCAGUUGUCAAGACUUGGAACCUGACUGGAGACCAGGGUUGAUCGAAUGGGACACUGUUGGGAUUCAGAGCUGUUAAGGCUGGGCAGAUGGGGAGGGUCAAGACUUGGAACCUGACCUGAGACCAGUUGAUAAAAUGGGACACUGCUGGGACUCAGAGCUGGUUGGCUCAUGGCGACUCAUCCCAGAGGAGAGGGACACUCACUGUCGAUGGUUAUAAUCUGGAUUACUUAAUUGAGGUUUCCCUAACAUCCAGAAAAGUGCUGCCACUGAUGUGUUUUCAAAGUGAAGACCUCACCAAGUUUAUUGAACAUAAAAUGUUUGGUGUUAUUUUGUUGCAGUUUGCAUUUGUUGAAUAAACAGUGGUUUGGUAAA